rnacentral:rRNA from 1 species
UGUAAGCGUAUACCAAAGUUGUUGCAGUUAAAACGCUCGUAGUCGGAAUUUGGCAGUUCCGGAUGUGUGCACGUCGUGUGCGCACUUCGCGGGGAUUGCUUUUGUGGUCUUGCGUAGGAUGAGGCACUUUCAUUAGUGAACGUCCUCACGCAACCACUCUUUACUGUGAGAAAAUCAGAGUGCUCAAAGCAGGCAUUUGCCGUGAAUGUAUUAGCAUGGAAUAAUAGAACAGGACUCGGUUCUAUUUUGUUGGUUUGUUGGGACUGAGUAAUGAUUAAGAGGGACAGUUGGGGGCAUUUGUAUUCCGGCGCUAGAGGUGAAAUUCUUAGAUUGCCGGAAGACAAACUGCUGCGAAAGCGUCUGCCAAGGAUGUUUUCAUUGA